rnacentral:lncRNA from 1 species
AUGUCCCGACUGGUAAGGGAAAUGAAUGAAAGAAGCUUCUCCAAUAGGAGGCAUGUGUUGAGCAUUUGUUUCAUUCCUUUGGCAGCUGAAGUUCCAGUUCCAUUUCUAGUUCAGGUUAUGGUUCGAGUGGAGAAGCUGAGAGGGCAUACCUUCCCUAAGUUGGUUAGAUCGCCCGAAUGAAGGAAGCUGUCUUGUCUCGCAAUGGCAGAAGAAAGAUAUAUCAUUGCCAAUCGGGAGGAAGGAAGAGUCAUUUACCUCCUUCUCCCUAUCGAUGUUUGACCCGAUUUUGCUCCCCCUCCCCGGGCCUUAGCAGCCCACCCCAUAAACCGCUUCCCUCGACUGCCUUAAGAGAAGAGAAGAGGAGGGGAUUUCGAAGAAUGGAAUGA